CCUACGGGAGGCAGCAGUGAGGAAUAUUGGUCAAUGGACGGGAGCCUGAACCAGCCAAGCCGCGUGCAGGAAGACGGUCCUAUGAGUUGUAAACCUCUUUUGUAAGGGGGCAAACGCGGAGACGCGUACCCGGAUGAAGGUAACGGAAGAAAAAGGAUCGGCUAACUCCGUGCCAGCAGCCGCGGUAAUACGGAGGAUUCAAGCGUUAUCCGGAUUUAUUGGGGUUAAAGGGUGCGGAGGCGGCCGGUUUAGUUAGGCGUGAAAACCCGGGGCUCAACCUCGGGAUAGCCGUUGAUACUGGUGGGCUGGAGUGGGAGAGAAGUAGGCGGAAUGUGUGGUGUAGCGGUGAAAUGCUUAGAGAUCAUGCAGAACACCGAUUGCGAAGGCAGCUUACC
rnacentral:rRNA from 1 species